rnacentral:rRNA from 1 species
UACGUAGGGUGCAAGCGUUGUUCGGAAUUACUGGGCGUAAAGCGCGCGUAGGCGGGCUUGAAAGUUGAUUGUGAAGGCCCUGGGCUUAACCCGGGAAUGGCAGUCAAAACUUCAAGUCUUGAGUGCCUGAGAGGAUGGCGGAAUUCCCGGUGUAGUAGUGAAAUACGUAGAUAUCGGGAGGAACACCAGUGGCGAAGGCGACUACCUGGCCUGUUCUUGACGCUGAGGCGCGAAAGCUAGGGGAGCAAACGGG